AGAGUUUGAUCCUGGCUCACGAUGAACGCUGGCGGCGUGCUUAACACAUGCAAGUCGAACGAAGCACCUUGAUUUGAUUCUUCGGAUGAAGAUCUUGGUGACUGAGUGGCGGACGGGUGAGUAACGCGUGGGUAACCUGCCUCAUACAGGGGGAUAACAGUUAGAAAUGACUGCUAAUACCGCAUAAGACCACAGCACCGCAUGGUGCAGGGGUAAAAACUCCGGUGGUAUGAGAUGGACCCGCGUCUGAUUAGGUAGUUGGUGGGGUAACGGCCUACCAAGCCGACGAUCAGUAGCCGACCUGAGAGGGUGACCGGCCACAUUGGGACUGAGACACGGCCCAAACUCCUACGGGAGGCAGCAGUGGGGAAUAUUGCACAAUGGGGGAAACCCUGAUGCAGCGACGCCGCGUGAGCGAUGAAGUAUUUCGGUAUGUAAAGCUCUAUCAGCAGGGAAGAAAAUGACGGUACCUGACUAAGAAGCACCGGCUAAAUACGUGCCAGCAGCCGCGGUAAUACGUAUGGUGCAAGCGUUAUCCGGAUUUACUGGGUGUAAAGGGAGCGUAGACGGAGUGGCAAGUCUGAUGUGAAAACCCGGGGCUCAACCCCGGGACUGCAUUGGAAACUGUCAAUCUAGAGUACCGGAGAGGUAAGCGGAAUUCCUAGUGUAGCGGUGAAAUGCGUAGAUAUUAGGAGGAACACCAGUGGCGAAGGCGGCUUACUGGACGGUAACUGACGUUGAGGCUCGAAGCGUGGGGGAGCAACAGGAUUAGAUACCCUGGUAGUCCACGCCGUAAACGAUGACUACUAGGUGUCGGGCAGCAAAGCUGUUCGGUGCCGCAGCAAACGCAAUAAGUAGUCCACCUGGGGAGUACGUUCGCAAGAAUGAAACUCAAAGGAAUUGACGGGGACCCGCACAAGCGGUGGAGCAUGUGGUUUAAUUCGAAGCAACGCGAAGAACCUUACCUGCUCUUGACAUCUCCCUGACCGGCAAGUAAUGUUGCCUUUCCUUCGGGACAGGGAUGACAGGUGGUGCAUGGUUGUCGUCAGCUCGUGUCGUGAGAUGUUGGGUUAAGUCCCGCAACGAGCGCAACCCCUAUCUUUAGUAGCCAGCGGUUCGGCCGGGCACUCUAGAGAGACUGCCAGGGAUAACCUGGAGGAAGGUGGGGAUGACGUCAAAUCAUCAUGCCCCUUAUGAGCAGGGCUACACACGUGCUACAAUGGCGUAAACAAAGGGAGGCAGAACCGCGAGGUCGAGCAAAUCCCAAAAAUAACGUCUCAGUUCGGAUUGUAGUCUGCAACUCGACUACAUGAAGCUGGAAUCGCUAGUAAUCGCGAAUCAGAAUGUCGCGGUGAAUACGUUCCCNGGGUCUUGUACACACCGCCCGUC
rnacentral:rRNA from 1 species